GAUGAUGACUCCGUUUUUCCUGUGAUCUGACUGGCCCUCCUCCACUUUCUCACCAUCCAAUCCAUCAUGGUUUUGCUCUUUGCCCUUGUGGCUGUCAGAGGGGGAAAAUGGUCCCAGUGGAGACAAGUACGACCUGCCUGAGAGAGAGAUG